GACGAACGCUGGCGGCGUGCUUAACACAUGCAAGUCGAACGGAAAGGCCCUGCUUUUGUGGGGUGCUCGAGUGGCUAACGGGUGAGUAACACGUGAGUAACCUGCCCUUGACUUUGGGAUAACUUCAGGAAACUGGGGCUAAUACCGGAUAGGAGCUCCUGCUGCAUGGUGGGGGUUGGAAAGUUUCGGCGGUUGGGGAUGGACUCGCGGCUUAUCAGCUUGUUGGUGGGGUAGUGGCUUACCAAGGCUUUGACGGGUAGCCGGCCUGAGAGGGUGACCGGCCACAUGGGGACUGAGAUACGGCCCAGACUCCUACGGGAGGCAGCAGUGGGGAAUAUUGCACAAUGGGCGGAAGCCUGAUGCAGCAACGCCGCGUGCGGGAUGACGGCCUUCGGGUUGUAAACCGCUUUCGCCUGUGACGAAGCGUGAGUGACGGUAAUGGGUAAAGAAGCACCGGCUAACUACGUG
rnacentral:rRNA from 1 species